rnacentral:rRNA from 1 species
UACGUAGGGUGCGAGCGUUAAUCGGAAUACUGGGCGUAAAGUGUGCGCAGGCGGCCGCGCAAGUCGAGUGUGAAAGCCCCGGGCUUAACUUGGGAAUUGCGCUCGAAACUACGUGGCUCGAGUGUGGCAGAGGAAGGUGGAAUUCCACGUGUAGCGGUGAAAUGCGUAGAGAUGUGGAGGAACACCGAUGGCGAAGGCAGCCUUCUGGGCCAACACUGACGCUCAUGCACGAAAGCGUGGGAGCAACAGG